rnacentral:rRNA from 1 species
GAUGAACGCUGGCGGCGUGCCUAAUACAUGCAAGUCGAGCGAACGGACGAGAAGCUUGCUUCUCUGCUGUUAGCGGCGGACGGGUGAGUAACACGUGGAUAACCUACCUAUAAGACUGGGAUAACUUCGGGAAACCGGAGCUAAUACCGGCUAAUAUUUUGAACCGCAUGGUUCAAAAGUAAAAGACAGUCUUGCUGUCACUUAUAGAUGGAUCCGCGCUGCAUUAGCUAGUUGGUAAGGUAACGGCUUACCAAGGCAACGAUGCAUAGCCGACCUGAGAGGGUGAUCGGCCACACUGGAACUGAGACACGGUCCAGACUCCUACGGGAGGCAGCAGUAGGGAAUCUUCCGCAAUGGGCGAAAGCCUGACGGAGCAACGCCGCGUGAGUGAUGAAGGUCUUCGGAUCGUAAAACUCUGUUAUUAGGGAAGAACAUAUGUGUAAGUAACUGUGCACAUCUUGACGGUACCUAAUCAGAAAGCCACGGCUAACUACGUG